CUUGUUCCUAGAGCCUUGCAGGUGUGGCUGCUGUGUCACUUGUGUGCCAGUAAGUGGCAGAAUGGAGAGAGGUUAUGUCUAUGCUCAGUGUUCUGAUCUAGGAACAUCUGAAUGAUUGGUAGCCCAACACU
ensembl:snoRNA Gm22937 small nucleolar RNA SNORA17